UAUCUGCAACAUAGCAUUAAUGCAUCGGAUCCCAUUAGAACUCCGCAGUUAAUCUCACUCAGGAUAGAGUAGUACUGGGAUGGGUGACCACCCGAGAAUUCCUAGUGUUUUACAUGC
rnacentral:rRNA from 1 species